UCUUAAUUCUGAAUCCUUUUAGAAGUGUCUUUCCUGUCUGUGUUCUCUUGACAUAGGAAAACCCAGGCUGAGAGCAUGGUGAUUCUAUUUUAGUUGACCCUGUUGACAGAUAAAAUGAUGAGUUUCUAUAAAAGAGAUAAACACACUGACAUGGUUUGCAUAUGAAGUUUGUGUGCCCCCUGAGCUGGAUCCUGAAAGGUGAUGCAAAUAAAGACGGUGAAAAUAGUCUAGUUUCUUGUCACGUCUGACCCCCCUGUUGCAGGCUCAGAAGUAGUAAGAAAGUUCAAGCACCCAUCAAAUGUUUGGUAGAACUGAGUUCUCUUUGACAACCUCUGAGUAGUUCUAUCAAUAUCUACACAGAAGAUCCCUCUCUGUGGCAGUGUAAUAGCCAAUACCAUGACUGUGUUGUUCUAGGCUAGGAUGUAUCACUGUAAGGUUAAGAAUGGCGCCCAUAAACUCAUGUAUUUGAAUGUGACUUCACUGAAGAGUGGAGCUAUUUGAAAGAACAAGAAGGAUUAGGAGGUGUGGCCUGGCUGGAGUGGUUGUGGCCUUGUUAGAGGAGGUGUGUCAUUGUGGGUGGGCUUUAAGGUUCAAAAUACCAUGGCAAGCCUAGGCUGUCUGUUGCUACCCUUCUGCCUAGGAUCAGGUGGCAGCUGUCAGCUGCUGUUCCAGCAUCUGCCUCCAUGCUACUUGCCGGGAUGGUAAUGAACUAAGCCUCUGAAAGUGUAAGCAAGCCCUCAAUUAAAUGCUUCCUCUUAUAAGAGUUGCCUUGGUCAUGAUGUCUACACAUAGCCAUAGAACAGGGCCUGAGAUGCACUGGAACUACGUUAUCUUCAGACCCUUAUGAUAGGAGUUGUGUGGACCAUCAUUCCGUUAAAGACAAAGAAGUGAAGCCACAGACGGUGACUAACUAACUACCUUCCAACCACAGAGAAUAGAAGAGUCAGGAUUUCCACUGAGGCCAUUGUGGGCCUAGAGCCCACAGGCUUAUGGGAUGUCUGGUAUCCCGCUGCGUUUUGCUUCCAGCGUGCAAUGCUGCUAGUCUUAAGAACAAAAUGGUCACCCAUCCAGCAUGGCUUUGGACCACCUAGCCCAUAUUGGAUCUUCUGCCUCUUGCUUAAUUUGACAUAUAUUAUCCUCCAGCUACAGGUUGGCAGAUCUAGAAGUCAAUACAUCCUUGGCUUACAAAAUCUACAAAAUCAGGCUAUCUUUCAAAUCACCCCUCUGAUCCUAACCUUUGUUUAUUUCUCAUUAAUACAUUUUGUUCUGAAAGGAGUUCAAGUAACUACAAUAAAAAAAACUUGCAUAGUUAUGCUUAUUAAAGCAAAAAGGAAUAUUGCAAAUGGGGAACAGGAAAUGAAGCAAAUAGAUGAUUACAUAUUUACUGUAAUUAAGCAUUGCAUUAAGUUAUUACUCUGUCAUUUACCUGUACUGAUUACGAACAGAUCUGCAUUUUCCCCCCAACUCACAUAUCUGGAAUGUGCUAUGUAACUUGGGCAGGACAAAGGUUUUUUUUUUUUUUUUUUUUUUUUUUUUGGUUCUUUUUUUCGGAGCUGGGGACUGAACCCAGGGCCUUGCGCUUCCUAGGCAAGCGCUCUACCACUGAGCUAAAUCCCCAACCCAGGACAAAGGUUUUUAAGAUGAAGAUGUGAAUAUGUCUAUCAUCAAAGUUUAAUACCCAUUCUUGGGAGGAAAAUUUGAACUACAUGAACUUAUAACUGAAAAUUAUACUACAUAGAAGCCAGAUACGUAUUGGGCUGUUAAUAUUGUAAAUACAAAUUCUGGAAGGUGAAAUUUCAGACAGCUCUGGGAGUGCAAAUUACUGGAUUUCCAAGAUUCUGAAAUUCAUCAGUGACCUUGUUAUUGAUCAUGGUCAGCAAGGAGGGGUAAGGAGAAGGUCAGAGGAGAUCUGGAGAAUAUCAACGGCUGUAAAAUUAACAGAAAGUUGGUAGGAAUGCUAAGUAUUUGGGCCAGGGGAGACAAAUCAGUCAUUAAAUGAUGGCUGUACAAACACAAAGACUGGAGUUUAAUCCCAAACACCCAUGUCAAAAUCAAGCAUGGAGACAUAUCCUAUUAUUCCCAGCAUUGGGAGGCAGAGACAGCGAGAUCCCUGGAACUCUAUGGAGUCAGUGAACUCUAUGCAGAGUGGCAGACUCUGUCUCAAAAGAUAAGGUGGAGGAGUAGUUGAGGAAGAUGCUGGGCAUUACCUUCUAGUCUACAUGUGCACUCAAGACAUACACACACACACACACACACACACACACACACACACACAGAGAGAGAGAGAGAGAGAGAGAGAGAGAGAGAGAGAGAGAGAGAUCAUACAAGCUAGAUAUUGGUUUACUAAGUAUUACAUUACAUUGAAGGCUGUUCUACUGUAUUACACCCUACCAUCCCAAACCAUAUUCUAUCUGGCUGCUACUUUUGGUACAGUAAAUGACAGGUGACAAAUUCUGGAGCUAACUGGGCAUCCACUACCUCUUAGGCUUUAGUCACACACGAACUCACUUCUUCCUUAUUUAAGUGACUCUGUUAGGUGGGUCCUGUUGCAAUAAAUAUAUAAAAACCAGUGGGCAGGUUCCCAUGCAUACCCAGUGGUCACUAGUUCUGGCUCCAACAGGCCAUUGGAAUUAGUGUUAAUUCAUCUCAGAUUAGUGUCUCUCCUGGUGGCUCUCUGCUAGCCAUGAACUCUCUGGUUCCAGCCACCUGGUAAAAUCAAGACUCAACAAUCAGAUUUACAUGUUAAAUCCUCAAUCCAUAAUACAUCCACACAAUAAACUUACAACCAGGUGAUAAGGAUAUAAACCGCCCACCUAGAUAAGAUAUAAUUUGCCCAUCUAGACAACACAAAAUUCUAUAUACAUCCAUCCCUUGAGAAUAGCCAUAACAACCAUGCAGAAAGGACCCUUAACAUCUGCCACCAUGUUCACCUUGGCUGCUCCCUUCUCUCCCUCCAGUCUCCUCCUCCUUCAAAACUUUUCUCCUGCCCAUCCUUCCUUCUUGUCCAAUGACAGGCCCCAAUCUAUCCUCUACCUGCCUUCACCUGCAUAAUGACAUUAACCUACCGGGUCCCCGUCACAGAAAUGAAAAAAAUUGAGGUGCAGUGAUGUUCAACAAUUUGCCCAAGGUCACAGGGCUAAGCAAGAGGCAGAGCUCAGCCUUUUGAGGUGGUUCCUUCAUUUCUAAGUUAGAUUGUUAAGAAAAUAUUCUAAGUAUCAUCCCAAAUCUAGCUCCAAGAGCCUGUGGUAAAUUAAGUCUACUUUAUUAUGCUUCAAUGGAAAAUAGCAUCACUCAUUAAAAAGAAGUUCUACCCUAUUAUAAAUGCCUUAUACCCUUGUACCUGAAGGAUGAAAAUGUCCCCCCAGAUCAGUUUCUACCUCUUAUGACAAUGAUAUAUUGAUGGCAUAUUACAAACAUGUUUUCUAUGUCUAAGAAGUUCAGGUUCAUAUUGAAGUUGAGCCAAUCAUCACCGUCUGCUCCUAGAAAUGUUGUUUGAUGCCUCUGGGCCCCCAUCUUCUCAGCUAUGAUAGUAAAUGUAAUUUUGUGACAUAACUAUCAAACUAUUAAUAUCUGCAAAACAGCCUUGACAUAACUUUCUGUGUACUGCUAAACCAGGUAACUCACGCCUAUAAUUGUGGUAUUUGGAAGUCUGAGGCAAGAUGAUCAUGAGUUCAAGGCUAGCUUGGACCAUGUUGAGAGUUCAAGAUUACCCAGAGGUACAAAAUAUGACCCUAAUCAAAACAAAAAUGUUCGUGUAUAUAAAAGAUUGACUAGGACUAUACAAGUAGGGCGCCAUAAUUAUUGGUGACCCUCCUGGGCCAUAUUCUGGUCACAUGUUCUCACUGGUCAUUGUCCAUGACCCUCUUAAAGAUCAGUACUCAAAAAGUGAGUCUCAAUAAUUUACAAAUAGAACUCAGUUCUUAAAUCCGUGAGUCAUAGUUAGCAAGUGUUAUGUUAAUGCAGAGCAGAGAAUGGGGUGUUUCCUAUGAGGAAGGUUAAAGAAAUUAUUCUUCCCAUAUUACUCUAAGCCAGCAAUGGAAUGGAUGGCAAGUCUCCUUGCCUGUGGCUUUCUUGCUUACUAAGCAAUUCUGCUAUAUGGCUGUCACUCUCCCUGUGGGUGCUCUAGAUACUUCCUCUCUUUGUCCUUCUAUGCUAUGCUAUGUGUAUGUUCUGCCUUCGUGUGUGUGUGUGUGUGUGUGUGUGUGUGUGUGUGUGUGUGUGUGUACCCAUGGCAACCUUUUUCUAAUCAGUCAGAAGUGAGCUUUGAAGUGACCUCAUUCAUUUUUUUGUUCUGCUAAUCAGCCACCAACAGCUUCUGCAGGCCUCAGUUAAAUGAAGAAGCAGUGGGACAUAGUUCCAAAGGCCCUCUCAGUUCCUAGAGCCUGUUUUUGCAUCUUUGCCUACAUCUGGUCACUUUAUUCGCCAGUCUUUCCUGUGACCCCUUCAGACCUCCACAGUUCUGCUACCCCUCCAUGAUUCUUCACCACCUGUCUCAGCACCAAGUUUCAUAUGAAGCAGUCAAGAUUCUUUUCCUUAAACCGAUUCCCUAUUAGACUCCAGGCUUGGGAAGUUACUCCAUCUCUUGAAGGCUUGUAGAUGGCACCCUACAAGGCAAAGCAAAUUUCUACAGGGUACCACGGCAUGAGAGGCCCCUUCUGAGUGCUACAAAUGGUCCCAAGGCAAUAUUUAAACAUGGGCAAACACCACAGGUAUUAAUGGGUAUUAGUCAUGAAAUGGCUGUAAAGAUAUUUACGGUAAAGGCUGGGGAUAUAGCUGAGGGCGGAACAUUUGAUUGAUGAGCUCAAGGCCCAGGCUUAAUCCUCCAAUACCGAAAUACAAAUAGACGUUGUCCGUGGUAUUAUGUAGUGCAGAGACUCAUGAGGUUGAGUGAUUUUCAAUUUGUGGACUGAAAGCUAAUACAUUAAGCUUUGCAUCCAAAGCAAAGAGACUCGCCUGACCAUAAUACAGAGUGUAGCAGAACCUAGGAGUGAGGGAAUAGGAGGGAGCUCUUCAGGUGAGUAGAGAUUGCUGUCUUCCCAUCUUGUUUCUCCUCCCUUUCAGAUCCAAUUCUUAGAGGAGGCCUCCAAUGACCAAUGCCUGGUGCAAUUGCACUGUAACUCCAAUUAAUUAAAGUUAAUUUUUAUAUGCAUUGGUGUUUUUCUUGUAUGUAUGUCUAUGCACCAUUUGUGGACAGUGUCUGUAGAAGCCAGAAGACAGUGUUGGAUACUUUGAGACUGGAGUUAUAGACCAUUGUAAACCACCUCAUGGGCAUCUAGAAUGGAACCUGGAUCCUUUGGAAGGGGAACCAGUACUCUUAACCACUGAACCAUCUCUCCAGUUCUAUGAUUUGCAUCAUGAUACAUCUUUGUGUCAAAAAAUUAAUAUUCUAAGGAUGGGAUAUUUUUAACUGUCAGCUAGCCUGUGAUGAGGAAACUGGGGGACACUGAGUACCCUCAAGAGCAGAGAGGUGGUAUUCCCCUCCCCCUACAUUGGUCUCCUCUUUAGCCUCUCCCUAAUGGAGAGGCUUACUCCAGUUUUUCCUAAGUGACGCCCUUUUGCCCCAUGCCUUGAAGACAGUCAUAUUGCAUUAGUAACUUGUCAUGGCUGUGACAAAAUGCCUGUCAAAGGUGGUUAAGAAGGAAGACUUUAUUUUGUGUCACAGUUUAAAGGGACACAGUCAGUCAUGGUGAACAAAGCAUGAUAGCAAGUCACAUUGUGUCACAUCCACAGCCAGGAAGCAGGGAUAGUCACAUUGAAUCACAUCUGGAGUCAGGAAGCAGGGAUAGUCACAUUGUGUCACAUCCAGAGUCAGGAAGCAGGGAUAGUCACAUUGUGUCACAUCCAGAGUCAGGAAGCAGGGAUAGUCACAUUGUGUCACAUCCAGAGUCAGGAAGCAGGGAUAGUCACAUUGAAUCACAUCUGGAGUCAGGAAGCAGGGAUAGUCACAUUGUGUCACAUCCAGAGUCAGGAAGCAGGGAUAGUCACAUUGUGUCACACCCAGAGCCAGGAAGCUGGGGUAAAUGAACACUGGCACACGGCUUACUUCUCUUUUGUACUUUUCAUUUACUGUAAGGCCCAGCCCACUUUCACAGUAGGUCUCCCCAUCUCAGCCCAAUUUCCCUGGAAGUAUCCCCAUAAACACACCCAGAGAUUUGUCUUCAAGGCGAUUCUAGAUCCGGUGAACAUGGCAGUCGGGAAGAUAAAUGAUCACAGCUACACUUGUGCUUUCCUUUUUUUUUUAAUUUUAAUUGGGGAAAAUCUAGUUAGCCUAGAGUUCUUACCUUAGUCAUCAUAAGUAUAUAAUUCAACAGCAUUAAGAAUAGUCGCAGCAGGCAUUACCACCAGCAUUGUCUAUCUGUUUGGCAGAUCCCAAAGCUGUGUCCUUAUUGAACGGUUUCCAGGGCUGAGUCUGUCUUCCACUGAUCCUUGGGCAGCUGCCUGUCUACUUUCUACCUUCAUGAAUAGGACCUGUCCAGGUGCCUCCGUAAGUGGAACCACACAGUACUUAGUGUGCAUCCCUUUGUGAAGGGCUUUUUGCACUUAGUAUCAUGUACUCAAGGCUCAUUCACUUGGUGCUUAUGCCAGGUUUCCCUUCCCUGCCAAGGCGAGUAGUUUUCUAUCGUUUGCAUAUAGCAUUUUGUUUCGCUCACCCAUCAUGGGGGAAGACUUGGGCUGCUUCUGACCUUUGGCUGUAGAAAUAAUGCUGCUAUGAGCAGGCAUAUACAAAUAGCCCUGUAAGCCUCUGCUUUUAAGUUUGGGAAGUAUAUGCCUAGGAAAUACUUUUUUAGUUAGUUUGUUUUAAGGAACCACCAUUUAUUCUCUAUAGCAUGUUAUAUUCCCACUAACAGAGAAUGUGUCCAUUUUUUAAAAAUCAAGCUUCAGGUUUCUUUAAGUGUGUGUGUGUGUGUGUGUGUGUGUGUGUGUGUGUGUGUGGUCUUUGUUUUGUUUGUACAUGUGCACACACAUGUCCAUGCAGGAGUGGAUAGUACAUGUGCACACACAUGUCCAUGCAGGAGUGGAUAGUACAUGUGCACAUACAUGUUCAUGCAGGAGUGGAUAUCGGAGUGUAUAGUAUCUGGAGGUCAACACUGAUUGUCUUCUACCACUCUCUAACUUAUGUUUUGAGACAUAAGCCUCUAACGGAACCUACAGCUCACUAAUUUGGCUUGACUGGCAGACCAGAGAGCUCCAGGAUUCUCCUAUCUCUGAUCUCCAGAACAGGCUUGUAGACGUGUCAUUGUGCACCUUGUUUUAUGUGGGUCUUAGGGAUCUGAACUCAGGCCCUCAUGCUUGUGCAGCAGGCACAUUAUUAAUCGAACUGUCUUCCCAUUCCUGGGCUUUAUUGGCUUUGUACAGUCAAUACACUGGCAGCCAACUAUAGGCAAAAAAUAGAAUUCCAUAUAUUUUAGGAGGGUUGGCUUUUUUUUUUUUAAUUGACUAUUAAAAUACUACCUGGCUGAAACUGAUUGUCUUUGCCUGACCAUACCCAGCCCCACCCCACCUCACCCCACCCCCGCCUUCUUGGUAAACAAGGACAUUAAAUUAAUGUCUAAGAUCCCGUCCAGGUCACAAUGUCCUGGAUGCUUAGGAAAAUCUAAGCAUUGCUUUCUAUGUGUGUAUUCUAGGCAAAUCCUUCAAAUUCACAUCCCAGGGCAGAUUUCUGGCUAAGGCCAGAGCUUUUGUUUUGGUCUCUCUUAAUUCUUUUAGGUGUUUGCUGGAGUUUUGACAGUAUUUACAUUCUGAGAGGCAGCCACCAUGAGACUGUACCUUCUGAGCGGUCAGCGUUUUCCUCAGUCAGAUUUUUACUUAAGUCACUUGACAGUUUCCCUUAACCGCAGAAAACCUUGUUCUGCUUCGAAAACCUGGACUCAACAGUUUGCAGAUGAUGAUCAGCCCUGUGUAUAAACGAUGCGCACGUCUUGGAUAACCAUUACUGCAGAUGGAGAGGAAGCACACUCAAGGGAUUUAAUAAAAGGAGACUGGAAAAUUCCAGUUAAAACUAAAUAUUUCCCUUCUGCAGCAGGUUAAAAUAAAGUGCUGUUCAUUCCCUGUAAUGCUUCCGUCCGUAACAAAGGCUUUAUCAUAUAGUAUUGAUCCUGAUAAAAAACGGUCACCCCAGCCUUUUUAAUGAAUCUUCCUUUCUGUUAGAACAAAUACAUGCUUUGUGAUAUUUAAAGGGAAGUAAGAUUUUAUUUAGCCAAUCCACCUGUAUUGAAUUCCGUUUCUACAGCAGGAUCCAAAGAUAUAAGUAACUGGUAGUAUAUGUGAAUCUCUCUCUCUCUCUCUCUCUCUCUCUCUCUCUCUCUCUCUCUCUCUCUCUCUCUCUCUCAUCACUCUCUAAAUUUGACCAAGCACAUGGUGGAAACAUUGUGAAGAAGAAAACAGAAGCAACUGUUAUAAAGCGUUGGCAAGGAAGGAAGCCAUUAUAGUGACCUGCAGUUGCAGUGGCCUGUGGGUAGGAGAGAAGAGAAGGCCUAUGGGGGUUACCCGAGGAGAAUUCAUGGGACAAGUAACCUGGAAGGUGGGACACAGCCUCAGGGGGAGCAGCUGGAACCUCAUCAUUGGAUGAAGACAUAGAGAGGGAAACUAGACCACAGAUGGACCGAUCUAAGACAGACUGAGGAAAUCAACACAAGAUAAUUAACUACGGGAAGUACCAAGAAGAGAAAGGAAGAGAACGUCUCAAGGAAAAGGGUUGAUGCUUAGUGAAGUACAAAUGACAUGUAAAGUUCAAUGAUCCUUGUUGGCGUUAAGGAUGCUGAUGACAUCCAUCUCAAUGGGUUGCAGUGAGUACCAUGUAAUACCUACAUAAUACUCCCCAAUGGAAGUCAGAUACCUCUUUGGUUAAAGUAGACUCCUCUCAUACGAGCUGUGCAUUCUGGAGUCUUACAUUUAGAUGUCCUCCAAAAUCUACAGUCAUACAAUUUUGCACAAAUAGUAAGGAACAAGAUACUAUUUCUAAAGUGUUUGGUAGAACAUGAACACACAUAAGAGGUCAAGGCAACAGAUUAUAGCGAGUGCAGGACCAUCAUACAAAUGUAUAUUUCAGGAUGCUCUAGAAUUGGACCGGUACUGCUGACCAGGAAGCUCGGGGUAACAAUCCCUUGUAAGAAGAACUAUUUUUUAGUUUCCAUGAUCAUUUGAGAAAAACAAAAUAAAAUGUCCACUGCUCAGUAUACAAUUUCAGCCAUUUUUACCACAACCCACUUAAGAUGUGGAAUGGUGUUGUUUAUGCUGUGACAAGCACAGCUCCGACAUCCUCCUACCACAGUCACACCUCGCCUUUGACUACCAAAUUUUAAAUUUCCGUUGACUUCAUCUGUAUCUUCCUGUCCCUGCUAUUUGUGUGUUACAAUUUGUUGUGGUUACAAUAGCAACACCGUGAUAACAAGCAUGUUAACAGACAAAAAGCCAGACACACUCACCACUCAGAACGGUGACUCUCUUUAAUGUUGGUGAGUAGGUUAAAUUUCCUUGAUCUCUGGCAGCAUCAGAAAGAUAACAAUAUAGAGGGAACUAACAAAUUUUGCGAUCGUGGCUAUAAGACCUUACUAUAUAACUAGAAUACAUCCUUGUGUUUAUAGGAAGUUGAAUGUAGCUGAUUUCUCCUGCUCACCAUGCUCUGAAAUCCUUUGCUGAACAUGUUGGUGUUAUUUACAUAUGACUAGGGGCUAGUCACAAUGAGAGUGACCAGUAAAUGCUCCUGAAUGAACGAACGGGUUUAUCAGUUCCCUCAUGGAUCCCCACUAGCUGGAAACACAGCAAUUCAUUUUCCAGUUCAAUCUAUUCUAAACCUUUUGGGAUCUCAGUUUGCCUGCUAGAUUACUGAAGUGGUCUUUGUAAACUGGGGUCCAAUUUAAACUUUCCCCUGUCUAGCUUACAGAUGAAUGAGUCUCAGAUUAUGGUUAUUUUAUUUGACUUUGUCCAUUCCUGUGGGUAACUUCUAAUCUACUUUUUUAUCUGCUGAACUGGCUACUUCCCCAGUGGUGUAUCCCAAAUACUUGCUGUUUCUCCUGGACAUGUGUUCAUCGUCCAUCUCCCUCACGAUGGCUUCCUUUCUCCUUCUCCUUCUCCUCCUCCUCCUCCUCCUCCUCCUCCUCCUUCUUCUUCUUCUCUCUCUCUCUCUCUCUCUCUCUCUUUCUCUCUCUGUCUCUCUGUGUGUAUGUAUGUAUGUGUGUAUGUGUGUGUAUGUGUGUGUAUGUAUGUGUAUGUGUGUGUAUGUAUGUGUGUGAGUAUGUGUAUAUAUGUGUGUGUUCAUGUGGAGGGUACAUAAAUAUGCAUGUUUUUGUGGAAGGCACAGGUUAACCUCAACUGUCACUCCAUAGGACACUGACUUUUUUAUUUUAUCUUUUGAAGACGCGGACUUUACUGACAUGGAGGUCACCAAUUCAACUAGUCUGCCUAACCAGCCAGCCCCAGGGACCCUGUCUCUGACUUCCCAGUGCUGGGAUUACCAAUGGGCAUCACAACACAAAAUGAUUUUUUGUUUGUUUGUUUUGUUGUUGUAUGUGAAUUGGAGCUACCCCACAGUGGUCUCUUUUCUGAAAGAACACAAGGGCAUAUAGGACUGUGUAUGAAGCAACUCUGUCACAGUUAUGGCUUGAGAUAAGCCGUGUGUGUGUGUGUGUGUGUGUGUGUGUGUGUGUGUGUGUGUGUGUGUGAGAGAGAGAGAGAGAGAGAGAGAGAGAGAGAGAGAGAGAAGAAUGAACAAAAUAUGUUCAGAUAGAAAUAAAAUUAGAGGAUCCAGAAGUAAAGAAAAUGCAGCCUGUGCCCUCAGGAGAAAAGCUUCACACACAACUGAUGACUGCUGAAGAGGAAUCCAGGCUAGGAAUGUGAGAAGUGGGGAGGGGCAUCUGUGGAGUCUCUUCCCUGAGAAUAGGUUUUUCUGGGCUGCGUAGUGUGAACUACCAUGUGCCCCUACCUCCUGCGGUCAGUUUAAGACUCAUACUAAGUAAACAGUGUCUUGAUGUUGAGAUCAUUAUGUCCUGAUAGCUUUCAAGUCACAAAGCAAAACCCCAAAUAAAGAGGCCUUAGUGGGAAAGGAGGGAAGAGAGAGAGAAAGAUGCCAAAGGAGGCCUCUGUUCAGUCACAUGCAACGCCCUUUGACUCUCCUCAUAGCUUCAAAACCCAUACAGUUCACAAUGGAAUUAAAACCCCAGUGUGACUAGCUCACGUGCCCACCUGUAGUCUGUAUAUCUGAUCUCAGGAUUGGAAUACAUCCUUCCACAGAGGCUGUGUGUCCGACACUCCCUCCAACCACGAUGAACCUGCUCUCCAAAUAACUGCAAGCCUUCUGGCUUACAUUUUUUGUGUAAAUGUCCCACCGCCCAAAAGCAUGCAGAGGAGAGGAAUGGGGAAAGACCUCAAACCUGCUGUUUCUACUGUAUUCUUUUUUGUUUUUCCUGACAAAACCUUUGCAAAUUCCCCCACAGAGAGGCCACCAAAGGCUGGCAGAACUCUCUCUUCCUGGUUUUAAGAGGUAAGCUCAGCCUCCCAUCCAUCCCCAUCUCCUACUCCCAGUGCACUGGCCCAACCCUCCGUUUUCUUCAGCAUUUCCAGAACUGCUUGAUGAACAAGCUGGAAAGGAUUGUAAGGUGCUCGGGGAACUCCCACAUUGAAUGUGUGUUUGAGUUUUGCGCCCCACUGGUCAGGGAAAUUGCCUGUGUGGCUGCAGAUGAAAGGGUAACCCACAACCAAGCAGAGGUCUUCAAUCUGGGCCCUGUGCUAUGUGGUGGGGGCGGGGAGGGGUGGGGGUUUGGAGCAGAAGCUAAGAGGUUAUUAUUACGGUUAAAAGAAAAAGCCAGAGAUGCAUGAUUGCAACAAUCUCGACCCCAGCAAGGGCAUCUUAUAAGCCCUGCAAGGAAGAAGGGCCUGGUGUUUUGGGUCAGUGGUCUACAGAAUUUGGCCCCGUAUAGCCAGAGGCUCAGUGUCAUAUUCCCUUCUGUCCUCUGAGCAAAGGUGUUGAACCGUGCACUUCCUCAAGCCUAAACUUCUCAAAGUAGACUGACAGAUGGGUCAGGGCUUCAGCUGAGGGUUUCGCCUCAGAUAUCUGUUAGGAGAGGUGGAGCAAACCCAGGGAUAGCCACAACCUUACACGAGACUGCCUGGUAUAUCACUAGUGUCUGUUUCACAAAGUCACACCGAGCUGGAUUUCAUCAUUGAGGCCGAGUAGUGAGGCCGAGAUGAUCCAAGGAAGCCACUACACAGAGGAGAUGGCAGAGUGGUUGGGACGGUGGCUUGGGAAACUGGCAGAGGCCCCAGAAGGUUUCCUGUCUCCAUGCUGUUGUCUCUUUCCAACUAAUCUGAUGGCCUCUCCCAGCAAACAAAGGUUUCAAUUCACCCCUGCCUCCCAUCUUUCUGUGUUAUUACUCACUUUAGUGUUUUAGAUGCAAGAAUUAGAGGGAAGUCUGAGAACUCCAUAAUUAAUCAUUUCCUUUGUCCUAGCAAAUGUCUAACUUGGGGAUUUUAUGGUUGGGAUGCAUAACACAUACUACAGUUAGAGGCUAAUGGCAUAUUAAUAGCAAUAACAGCAGACAAACAUUCCCUAGUAUUGCUAACUCUUUCUGAAAGAAAGUCUUCCACAUUCCCUCUCCACAGAGCCAGGCAUACAAACCAAGGGUGUUUUGAUUUUUACCUUAGUGCAUCAAAAUCAGACUGAAGAUUGCAUUCUAACUUAGAAACACCAAAUCCCACCUUAGAAAACUGAUACCCAGUUUAGAAGUUUUCAAAGCCAAAAAUAUACACAUACCUGUGCAUGUAUAUAUUCCAAUGGGUAACAAUGCUUAGUGGUUCAUUAUUGUCAUGGUUUGAAUAUGCUUGGCCCAGGGAGUGGCCCUAUUUGGAGUUAUAGUCUUGUUGGAGUAGGUGUGUCACUGUGGGCAUGGGCUUUAAGACCCUCAUCCUAACUUCCUGGAAGUCGGCAUUCUGCUAGCAGCCUUCAGAUAAAGAUACAACUCCUCCUGCACCAUGCCUGGCUAAAUGCUGCCAUAUUUCUGCCUUGAUGAGAACGGACUGAGCCUCUGAACCUAUAAGCCAGCCCCAAUCAAACGUCAUACGUAUAAGAGUUUACCUCGGUCAAGGUGUCUGUUCACAGCAGUAAAACCCCAACUAAGGCAAUUACCCAAGCUAUAUGCAUACUUAGCUAUCACAGUCACCACUCUGUUGAUUUCAUGUUGCUGUGACAGAACUACCUGGGAGGACCUAUUUAAAUCAGGAAAGAUUCGAGGAAAAAGAAGUAUUGGUCACAACAAGGCAAGCAUGCUCCCCCCACCUGUGUGCACGUCCAGGGUCUCAGGGAAGGGGAGUGUAAUCUGCACAGAAGGGAAGCCAGGCACCAGGCGGCUAGACCCAGCGCAAAGACCACAGCCCGAGAGGAUGCAGGGAGCCUGUGUGCAAAGACGACGCCUGGGCCACUGCCAGAGAACAGGGAAGGGGCUGUCCUGUGGAAGGAGCAGAAAGAACGUUUCCACCCAGCUUCAGCCACGAGAAGCCAGCUACCAGGUGCCCACAAGGUGGAAGAUUUGGCAGCAUGUGGGCAAGGAGGUUUGCCAACUUCAGAGAGCAAAGGCUGGCUUCUUUCUGUCGAGCGUUAGUGAAAGCUAUUGAUAUCCAGGGGUCACACUUCCUCUUACACUUUGGACGCCUCCCAGAAGCACUGAAAACAGAGAGUAGAAACAUGUUCACCCAGCCAUAGGACGCAGAGCCAGCGGCUGCAGCAGGACCUGCAAGAGUCCCCUGGCAUGCGUGUCGUGAUGACUCUUCUCUCAGGAGAAAACCAUCUAUCGGGUGCUGUUUCCAGGGGCCACCUACUACCCGGCACAUAGGCCACCAAGGAAUUUUCCUUCCUGGUGGGGCAUUGUUAAAGUCAGAUUUCUGCCCCGGGAGCUAAUUCUCCUUUGGCAUUGUCCCAGUUUUGAGCUGACAUAGUGUAAGCUGUGUUCUACAGUUUGUGUCCUAAUAAUCAUGCUCUUGGUAUAAAUUAUUAGUAAUUUUAAAUCAGUAAGCGUCUCCCGGGACUCUCAGAGGGCUGUUUUGUUCUACUUUGUUUUGCUGAUUUAAAUCAAGUGAUUAAAGAAGAAAAAGAUGCUUCCUUGCCUCGGUUCACGCUGUUAACUAGAUUCACAAUAAUGAACCAGUUCUCGGCAAUACACAAUGGUGGAGAAAGCAGGAAAGGAAGACAGGCCUGGGGCUGACUCAUCGGUGGUGGAAUCCUUGUUACACAAGUCCUGCGUUCAGAGAGUCCUGGGAGGGGAAGAAACAUGGCCUUGUUGGGGAAGCUCCCCCACUGUGGCUGGACACGCUUGCCAGGAGGCUUUCUCUCAAGCAGAAAGCAAAACACAUCAUACAGCGUUGGGUCUCUCCAGGACCAGCUGACCUACCGCAGGCAGUCAGCAAUUCGUCAAGGCCUUUAUCUCUUCUGAUCUCCUGACCCAGUGAUGGGGAAUGAGGGGGGCACACGGAGUGAGGCGAGGUUAAGGGAGGACUGCAGACAUGUCAUUAGUGAUGGCAGCCAUGAUGGCAGUGACGUAAUGGGAGCACUAGCCAUGCACACAGCACUUUGCAGUCCACACAGCAGCACCGUGCAUUCCCUCUGUCUGGACAGCUAGUGGCACAUCUACAGUAGCACACAGGACACUGUAUCCAAAGACCAAGAACCUUCUACUGAAUGUUUGCUAGGCAACUAUUCAUAAUAUUUGUUGGACGAAGGCACGAGCAAGCAAGCAAAUUUAUUUUACUAUCACAAGAGAAACGUACCAAAAAUUUGCAUCAGGUUUGAGAACUCUGGACUCUUGGGAUAUGGUGGUAAACGAGAUCUGCUCUCAGCAAGGUCUCCUUAAAAUGGAAAGGAGAAACUUACAUCUCUAAGAACUUAUAACAAUAAAUCAAAGUAUAAGAAGUGAUAGGGGACAUUGCCAAAGUACAACAGCUGAGGGUUAAUUGGAGUUAAUUGGAGGGUUAAUUUUUUUAUUUAUUUAUAUGUAUGCAUGUAUGCCCGGAUGACUUUGUGUGCACCACGUGUGUGCAGGAUGGAUGGAGGCCAGCAGAGGGUGUUGGAGCCCUAAGACAGGAGCUACAUGUGGUUGUGAGUGACCCAAGUAAGUGCUAGGAACUGAACCUUGGUCUUCUGCAAAAGCAGUAAGUUGCUCUUAACUUCUGAGCCAUUCCUCCAGCCGCGAGGAAAACCUUUUAGAGAAAGAAUUUGAGAAGGUUUGUGGAGGUUGGGUCUGAUUUCAACCGCAGGAAUGUGGUAUUGUUCUUAAGGGGAUGGAGUCUUGGAUAGAGACAUGUAGAGAGAAGCGGGUCCAUUGAAGCAACAAUGAACGGUGCUAUAAGAAUGGGGCAAGGCAGGUUGGGGAUUUAGCUCAGUGGUAGAGCACUUGCCUAGCAAGCUCAAGGCCCUGGGUUCGGUCCCCAGCUCCGAAAAAAAAAUAGAGAAAAAAAGAAAAGAAAAAAGAAUGGGGCAAGGCUAGGAGAAGCAGAUCCUAAGUUAAAGGGCUGCAAGGUAAUGGGUGCAGGAGCGAAGGACCAUGGGGCAGAGGCAGGCUUUCUCAUGGUGUCAGUUACCAGAUGUGAAAAUCGAGACACAGAGAAGUCAAGCCCCACAGCCAGGAAAUAAACCUGGGUGCUUGGCUCCAGUCUUCUCUAACUUAGUCAGGAGUGUACUUGUGGUGCACAGGUCACAAGUGCAUCGGGACUUUUAUGUAUGUGGCAGAACACAAAAAAAUCACACACUUCCUUAAACCAUUGGUUUUGUUUUUUUUUUGUUGUUGUUUUUUUUUUUUUGUUUUUUUUGUUUGUUUUUGUUUGUUUUUGCAGUUUAUUCCUUUGAUUGGUUUGGUGUUUCGGGGGGGGGGGUUGUUGUUUGUUUGUUUUUGUAACUUAGUUGUACAGUUUUGAAGCCGAGACUUUAUAGAGGACAGCAUCCGGGUGCAAUGUCAAAAACUUGGAUACAUCUGUGGUACUGGGACCUCUCAUGGCGACCCUCUAAAACCCCUCUCUAUGUAGUUUCCCCAGAGCAAGGAAGAGCUCCCCCUACUGUCCAAAACAAGGAAGAACUUAGCUUGCUCUUGGUUAUAACAGCCCAAAUUGUGUGAUUGUCUACCCAUACACCAUAUAAAUCUAUACAUGAAUGACAAAAGAAGCAUGUGACAUUGAAAGACAGGAAACGUGGCAGUCUAUUCCAGAGCCAGGGCUAGUUAACUCCACAGUCCAACCAUAUCAUCAAAAGCAAAGUUCAUUCCAUCUCCUCAAUGUGAGGUUCCCCAACGACAGCUUCCGCCUGCAACUGGGCAACCUCCCAACCCCCUUUACCUGGUCACUUUCCCCAUCAGCUCCCAUGUUGCUUCCCAAGAGUAGCCUUUCCUGUCUCCCCCAGCUCUCGUUCACCCUCAGAGGGUCUUCAGUACUGGAUACUGGCUGUGGUGGUAUACGCUUGGAUUCGGUGAUCAGUGCUACAAGGGAAGGAACCCCAUGCACUCUUGCAUCGCUGCCCACUAUUAGAGCCCAGAAGCUCAAAAACACAUCAGAACAAUAGUUCUCAUAGAACAAUAGUUCUAUGAGAGACCCAGGAACCCAAGUACCACAAAAUAGGACAAAUUUGCUGCUGGUGGCUUACUCUCUGGAGCCUUUUCUUCAAGACAAUGUAUGUGGAUUUCUCCCCACCUCAAGUCCUUCUUCCUGUAACGUGCACGUGUUCAACUGAGUACCACAGUCCCCAGCUCUCGGAGAUUGUGAGCAUUUGCACACCUUGAAGCAUUUCUCUGGCAACAGCUGUUGGCCCAAGAAUAGUCCAUGAUUUAAUGUGGCUCAAAUAGACCCAAUGGGUCGUAUUCAAGUCAGAGAGGAGAGCUUCCUCAGAGGUGGGGAAUAAACAAGGUUACUGGUGGUCGAGGUGUAGUAAAGGCACGGGAGGAGCAGAAAAACAAAAUAUACAGACUCCUGAGGAAGUAGGAAAAGGGCAAGAGGCCCUGGUGAUGGUGGGUAUGAUAUUCAGAGGAAGGAAGGCAGUUGUCUCAAGGAGAUGUCGUUUUUUAGCUUGGGCACGUGUGUAGACAGAUGGAGGUCCUUGGGACUGAGCUGGAAAACACUGGAGGAAAUAAGACUCUUCUGAGCAAGCCUUUCACGGACGGUCCCACCGUCCUCAAUUCCGUAGAGUAGAGAUGCACCUCUGCCUCGUGCUUGCCCCUGUGGCCCUGUGUUGGACCCUGGUUGUUCUGCUUCUCAUAGUCUUGCUUGUGGCAACGGUGUUUUAUUUACUACCACCAUUUUCCCCACCUCCUCCCAGGCCUGCUAGCUCCGUGAUAGCGGGAGCUGUGGUAUGCCUUUGUGGGUGUGUGGAUGAGUGAGUAUGUGCGAUUGCGUGUCCUGUGGUAAACGGUUGAUUCACUGCAGCCAGGGGCAGAUUAAUGUUUGCUUGCAUUAUGAAGGUCAGAUAGCCACACUUGGCAGGAAAGUUGCAUUUGGACCUUGAAGCAGGCGAAGUAGUCGCCUUAGCAGCUCUUCUGAUCCUGAUUAUGCCUUCGUCUAGUGAUUGCAAGGCUUAAAGAGGUCAUCCCAUAAGCAUUUUACAUUACUAUUUGUGUGUGUGUGUGUGUGUGUGUGUGUGUGUGUGUGUGUGUGUGUUGGUCCUUGGGAGACAAGGACUUUUAAUUCCUGAGCCAUCUUGUUGGUCCCCAGUGUGAUUCUUAGGUAUAAAAUUGGACCUGUGCAAACCUUAGACUGGUAGUGUGGUCAUGUGCUUACAUUUCCUACAUUACCUUUUGUCGUUGGGUGAAGCAAAUACACUGUCCCUUCUUCCUUGUUAAUAGUUGAACAAUUGCUUCCAGAGCCCUAAAAUAUCAUUUCCAAAGCUGUGGCGAAGCAGUUGGUAAACGCUACUCGUAAUUGUUUAAUAUCGCUACCACAUUUGCUUACAAGAAAAGAGAGACAACUCGCCAUCAAUCAGGAAGGGAAUAUUCAUAGACAGCGAUCAUGGAGGAUGCGCUGCAAUGUCAUGGCAACCAUCCCCCAGCCCCAGACUUGAUUGCUUACAUUGCAUUCCUAGUCAUAGACGUGCUGCUCCAUUAACUGCACUUUCUUCGACCUCGUUUGUGAAGGGGAAGCUGGGAAGCGGCCCAACAUACACUCACUAUGAGAGAAGCACAAGAUCAGACACAUGUACUCUCCUCUGGAUGCAGCCAAUGGCAGUAUUCAAAGUCACCAUGAGCCACCAAGAAAAUUAUCACACCUGAAACAAGAAAUCUAGGGAAGAUCAGGUACCUCUGUUAGAGAGAGAGCUGUUUGCGAUCCAUAUUCACAAUCUGGUUCUGUUGUUACUAUACACUAAACCUCAGUCUCCUCUUCUGCAAAGUGGGGACGCACAGAGGCUUUGCAGAACAACUACAGCUCAGACGAUGCUAGCAGCGUCUGGCACGGAAAACAAACUCAAUAACCAGUACUGGAAUCAUUGUGUCUAAAAAUCACAAAGGAGGGCCAGUGACAAUGGCUCUGUAGGUAAAGGUUCUCGCAACCGAGCCCCGCAACUUGGGCUUUAUCCCUGUGACACACACAUUUUGGAAGAAGAGAGCUGACUUCCUGAAAGUUACCCUGUAACCACCCCCUGCUUCCACACAGGCAUGCAUGCGUGAUACACACGUGUUAAAAUGUAAUAAUAAAAUAAAAUCAAGAUCCACAUGUGGUGGUGCAUACAUGUAAUCUGAGCACUUGGGGAGGUGAGGGAAGAAGAUAUCAAAGAACUGAAAAUAUGUAUCUAUGUAUGUACGUACAUAUGUAUGUAUUCAUGAAUACGUGUAUGAAUGUAUAUAUAUAUGUAUGUGUAGAUGAUAAAAGAUGGAUGGAUAGAUAGAUAGAUAAAUAGACAGACAGACAGACAGACAGACAGACAGACAGAUUCAAUCACAUAAGUUAAGGAGAAAGUAGAGACCCAACGUAGGUCUUCUGAUUCUGGUCUCAAUAGACGACACUGCCUAGCUUCAUUAAACUUUAAUAAAUCAGCUAGGAGCCUCCACGAUGAGAAAGUGAUGUCUGAUCAUGAGGCAGAUUCAGAAUUCUGUGCCCAGACACUAACACUGCUUGUGUUUCAAGGGAACACUGGUGUGAGUUUCUGGCCAUUGGAUUAAAGAUUUGCCCAAAACCAAGUUUGUCUCAGUCUUCCUAAGGGAGACAGAGCAUAGGUUAUGGACUGCAUUACAGAUUAUCAUUAAAUGGUCCAAGUGUGUGUUCAGUGUGAUUUGAAUGGGGAAUGUCCCCCGUAGGCUCACACAUUAGACACUUGCUCUCCAGCUGGUGACAUUAUUUCGAAUAAGGUUCCACUUCCUGUUUGGUAACUUCUGAAGGUCAUACAAGCUUGGCGUUGUUCCAUAACAGGGCAAAACCGUAAAGAAAUCUGCCUGGAGUCAGGCUUGCUGUUGUUUCUUUUUGAAGUAGAUACCCUUACAGUUGUGUGGUGUACGGUGCUUUCUGUGGAUUUUCUUGUUUCGUCUCAGAAGCUAGGGCCCUGACUUCCAUGCAACAACUAGAGACAAUGGAGUUAGAGUAGACCUAGUAACUCAGGCAGAAGGUUCAGAUGGGCUUGGGGUUCAUUUCUGACCUCUCUUCUAGAGCCAGCCACACUCACACGCUGUAAUAGUACAAGGUUUAUGGCUGACAUAACAAAAUUAUUUUGUACCAGGAACAGUCGUGUAUACGGGGAGGCCAUCUUUAUAGCCGCCCUGUAAGGUGCAUACAUCGCCAUAUAACUGAUGAGGAAACCGAGGAACUGGUAGGUGAAGUAGUUCAAGUGGCCAGCUACACUGCGAUGGCUCCCAAGUACACACUUGGUCCUUAGCAUGGUGGCCUUUGCACGGAAGUGUGUUAUCUAAGAUCCAUUAGGCAGAUUCUUGGAACCCUACUAGAACAACUGAACCAGAACUUGUGUUCUAAUAAGAUCCAUAGGCACCAGGCACGCAUAUAGUACAGAAGCAGACAGGCAGAAGAAUACCUAUACUAUCUAUUUUUAAAUUUAAAUAAUCCCCAGUGGAUUCAAUAAAGGAGGAGACCCAGUAAUGUAGGCUCUUACAACGCAGAAUGAUACCAGGAAAACUGUCCUUAUGUCUCACAACUUCCCAGAGGGAGACAAAGGAGAGCAUUUGCCCUAACCACAGAGAGGGACUAAAGCCCAGAACCACAGAUGUCAGCUAGAUCUGUGUGCUAACUAACCCAGUAGCCGCCACCAUAAUAGACAAACCCUUUCUCUUAGUGAGUUCAUAAAACUGAUUUUUUCCUCAUACAUAUAGAGUCAAUCAAUAGAUGGAGCUCUCUUCACCAUCAAACUAGACAUGGUCCCCAGGUUUCCCUUCACGCCCCAAAGCUACCGCUAAGCAAAAGGGAAGGUUAAAAAAAAAAAUACAUGCUCGGGGAGGGUUAGUGAAAAGCCAGCAGUCACAGCUACAGUUGCCUGGAAAUGAUUAGCACUCAGUUGUUCAUUAAUCCGUUCGAUGGGUUUACUGAAUAAUAAACAAGAUCUGUUUACUCAGCUCUACGCUCACGGAUCAUUCAACAGAUGUUUUUCUAACAGUUGAUGGAGGGAGAAUCUUAGACUAAGAAAGUGUAAAUCUGGAGGGACGUUCUGAGUGGGUAUCAAUAUGCAUGAGUGCUCUGAAAAUGAGAGAGAGAGAGAGAGAGAGAGAGAGAGAGAGAGAGAGAGAGAGAGAGAGAGAAUAUAAAUAAAGGCCUGAUUUAGGCAAGAAGAGAGUGAGCUUGGGGAAGCCCUCCUGGAAGAGAUAAUGAAUCUAGCUUCAGUGUAGGGAAGGGGCCAUCUACUUCACAAGGGAGUGGAGUACAGAGAUCCCAAACUCCAGACGAUGCAGCAUGUAGAUGUCAUGGAGGAACUCAGGUCAAGGAGCAGACAUAUUGGUAGACAGGAUGGCAGAGCGACAGAAGGGCUGGGAAAUAAAA